CUCAGAAUCUGAACGGGUCAGUCCCACGAGAGAUCGUCGGACUCCCUUACCUCCGAGAGAUAAUGGGGAUCCACGAGACUUGUAAACAUUUCUCUCAUCGGAAACCGUGUGACGGGUCCAAUACCAAAAGCACUUGCCAACAUCAGUACACUUGCACAUCUGUAAUAUUUCUUACCGAUUCAUGUUUUAUUUAGAUUAAUCUCGAAUUGACGAGUUUUUUAUUCGGAAUUUGCUUAUGUUUUAUUUUGUCGAAUAUCUGAAGGACCUUGGAGUACAAUCAGAUAUCUGGAGUAAUCCCUCCAGAACUUGGGGAUCUUCCUCGACUAGAGAGAUUGUAAGGCUCUUUAAUUCGAAUAGUUUUAGUUUUCGAUUUCUCGCCUUGUUUGAAUACGUAUUAUGAAGUUGUUGAUGUCUUAAUUUUUUUUUUU